ACAGAUGAGAAGCUUGCUUCUCUGAUGUUAGCGGCGGACGGGUGAGUAACACGGUGGGUAACCUACCUAUAAGACUGGGAUAACUCCGGGAAACCGGGGCUAAUACCGGAUAAUAUUUUGAACCGCAUGGUUCAAUAGUGAAAGACGGUUUCGGCUGUCACUUAUAGAUGGACCCGCGCCGUAUUAGCUAGUUGGUAAGGUAACGGCUUACCAAGGCGACGAUACGUAGCCGACCUGAGAGGGUGAUCGGCCACACUGGAACUGAGACACGGUCCAGACUCCUACGGGAGGCAGCAGUAGGGAAUCUUCCGCAAUGGGCGAAAGCCUGACGGAGCAACGCCGCGUGAGUGAUGAAGGUCUUCGGAUCGUAAAACUCUGUUGUUAGGGAAGAACAAAUUUGUUAGUAACUGAACAAGUCUUGACGGUACCUAACCAGAAAGCCACGGCUAACUACGUGCCAGCAGCCGCGGUAAUACGUAGGUGGCAAGCGUUAUCCGGAAUUAUUGGGCGUAAAGCGCGCGUAGGCGGUUUCUUAAGUCUGAUGUGAAAGCCCACGGCUCAACCGUGGAGGGUCAUUGGAAACUGGGAAACUUGAGUGCAGAAGAGGAGAGUGGAAUUCCAUGUGUAGCGGUGAAAUGCGCAGAGAUAUGGAGGAACACCAGUGGCGAAGGCGGCUCUCUGGUCUGUAACUGACGCUGAUGUGCGAAAGCGUGGGGAUCAAACAGGAUUAGAUACCCUGGUAGUCCACGCCGUAAACGAUGAGUGCUAA
rnacentral:rRNA from 1 species